AACGAACGCUGGCGGCAGGCCUAACACAUGCAAGUCGAACGCCGUAGCAAUACGGAGUGGCAGACGGGUGAGUAACGCGUGGGAACGUGCCCUUCAGUUCGGGAUAACCCAGGGAAACUUGGACUAAUACCGGAUACGUGCGAGAGCAGAAAGAUUUAUCGCUGAAGGAUCGGCCCGCGUCCGAUUAGCUAGUUGGUAGGGUAAUGGCCUACCAAGGCGACGAUCGGUAGCUGGUCUGAGAGGACGACCAGCCACACUGGGACUGAGACACGGCCCAGACUCCUACGGGAGGGCAGCAGUGGGGAAUAUUGGACAAUGGGCGCAAGCCUGAUCCAGCGAUGCCGCGUGUGUGAAGAAGGCCUGCGGGUUGUAAAGCACUUUCAGUAGGGAAGAAAAGCCGAGUGCUAAUAUCACUCGGUCUUGACGUUACUUACAGAAGAAGCACCGGCUAACUCCGUGCCAGCCGCCGCAGU
rnacentral:rRNA from 1 species